rnacentral:lncRNA from 1 species
GUGCGAGCGUCUGCAGGGCCCACCCAGGACUUCCGGCCAGCAGGGCCAGGGUCGCUGCGGGUGAGGGCGCCGGGCCUGGGAAAUCCCUUCCAGGGAUGGAGUAGGGCGAGUGACACCAUCUCGGUGUGGGGCAGGGGUCCCUGUACGGUGAGUGCGGGGACCUGGUUGGAGCCCGACUCUGCCACCGUCUUGCGUGGCGACCUUGGCCAAGCCCUUCUCUUGGGCCCGGUGGCUCCGAUGAAGUGGGGGUGGGGUGGGGUCAGUCGAGCUGACCUCCAAAACCCUCCGCGGUCCGAUUCCCGCAAACCUUUGGCCGCAGCCUGGGCAGGGCAUCUCAGGUCUUCUAGGCUCCUCAGGGAGGAGCACAGGAUUUGCUUGGCAUUCUCUUGAGAGAAUUCGAAGAACUUAUUGUAUCCAAAGAAGUGUGACAAAGGCCAGUACGUUUUCUUGGGGUUUUAAGCAACUGCAAAACUUGAACCUCAGAAGAUGUCAGGGGGUGGUGAAAAAAGCCGGCAUGGUGGUGCACCUGUAAUCCAAGCAGCUGGGGAGACUGAGGGAGGAGGAUGUAAGUUCCAGGCUAGCCUCAGCAAUUUAGCGAGGCCCUAGGCAACUUAGCCAGAUCCUGUCUCAAAAUAAAAAAUGAAAAGAACUGGGGAUGUUGCUCAGUGGUUGAGCAUCCCUUGGUUCAAUCCCUGGUACAAACAAAAUAAAACAAAACAAACAAAAAACACCUCAAUCUGGGUCUGAGAAUUAAUUUGGCAAAAGGACAAUAUUAACAGCAGAGAAGCAUACCCAUUUAUUUAAUUAAGUUUUACAGGACAUGAUAACCCUCACAAGUAAAUGAAGAUCCAAAGAAGUGGCAAUACCUAAAUACUUUUAUACUAGGUUGAAUAAACAGAAUUAUUGAAAAGUAAAAUAUAUGGGAGGCUAAAGAAAGAUAAAUAUUUUAAUAACAUCUGUACAUAUAUCUUGUAGAGGUCCAGACCAUAUGUGUGCUAUUUCUUACCUCAAGAACAGCUGACUAUAGGUAUUAGCUUCAAUUUACAGGUAAGGAAACAGGAUAAAAGAGGUUUAAUAGUUUGCCCGUGGUCCUUUAGCUGAGAAGUAAUAGAACCUGGGCUGGUUCUAGGUGCUGGUUCAACCCACUAUUUUAUACCUGCCAGUGGACUUUGAGGAGGAGAUCAAGGUCUCAUGGUUUGAAAGAUGUGCUUUGCAACAAUAAUUGUUGGUGAGGAUGUGGGGGAAAAGGUACACUCAUACAUUGCUGGUGGAACUGCAAAUUGGUGCAACCACUCUGAACGCAGUAUGGAGAUGCCUUAGAAAACUUGGAAUGGAACCACCAUUUGACCCAGCUAUUCCACUCCUUAGUCUACACCCAAAAGACUUAAAAUCAGCAUACUACAGUGACGCAUCCAUAUUAUAGCAGCUCAAUUCACAAUAGCUAAACUAUGGAACUAACCUAGAUGCCCUUCAAUUGAUGAAUGGAUAAAGAAACCAUGAUAUAUAUACACAAUGGAAUAUUACUCAGCAUUAAAAGAAAAUAAAUUAUGGCGUUUACAGAUAAAUGGAGAUGGAGAAUAUCAUGCUAAGCAAAAUAAGCCAGUCCCAAAAAUGCAAAGGCCAAAUUUUUCUCUGAAAUGUGACUACUGAUCCAUAAUGGGGGGCAGGGGGAAGAAUGGAGGAACUUUAGAUUGGGCAGAAGGGAUUGAGGGGAGGGAAGGGGGUAUGGUGGUGGGAAGGGUGGUGGAAUAAGACCAACAUUAUUACCCUAUGUAAUUGCACAAAUGGUGUGACUACAUCAUGUACAACCAGAGAAAUGAAAAAUUGUGCUCCAUUUGUGAACGAUGAAUUGAAAUGCAUUCUGCUGUCAUGUAUAAAUAAUUAGAACAAAUUUAAAAACAAAGAUGUGUUUUGUUUCUUAGGUUAGUGGUUCUGAAACCACUUGGAAGGUGAUGCCUCUGGGAGUUUUUGGUUUAAUAGACCUGGGGUGACUAAAAAUGUGGGUAUUCAACAAGUUCCAUGGUGAUGCUGUGGCUACUGAUCCUUAAACCACAUUUUGAUCCUUAAACCUUCAGUUUAGGCUGAAGGUUCUGGGUUGCCAUGGAAACGAGUCUGAGUUUGGCAGAUGAUCCUUGGUAUUUUUACUUUCCUUUAAUACUAGAGGUUGAUGGUUAGGGCUUUCCAACAUUAUUUUGCCAGCCUCCAGUGAGAACAGCAGCUAUUAGCUAAACAGGCCACCCUGUUGAAAUCUCAAGUGUCCCUCAGAGGCACAAUCAAUUGCUAUUGGAUGGGCAGGAAGCAAUUAAGCAUCCCAGGGGAUUGUUGAUCAGCCUUCAAAGGCGGCCUCAUCAGCUUUCAUUCAUUGUAGACACAUCCAAUAGGGGCCUCAGCUGCAGGAAAGAAGGUAGGAUGUGUGCCCAGAAAUUCAGAGAAUGUGGAAACGUAGAGCCAAGAUACCUUUAAAAGACUCCACCUGCACUCCCCCUUUCUCCCCUGUUAUGAGUUGGGGAAACUGAAGCCCUAUCGUAACAUGAUAACUGUUACAAAAGUUUUCCUUCUUUCCAUCUUGGAGUCCACAUACCCACCCAUGAGCAGGCUAGAAUUCUGUGUGUUCAGGUCCUGUUCUGGGACAUUCUUGAAUAAUUGCUAACAUGAUGAUCAUUUACAUACCAGAUAUUCCAGGUAGAAAAGCCAGAACCUCUACAAAGAGGAAAAGUGUUUUCAGUCCUGGGAGCCUCUCCUCUCAUGGGAGACGGUCAAUGCAACCAACCUGAAUAGAAAAUUCCCUUUUAAAAAUCCCUUUUAAUUGCUGUUUUCUUUGGUCUAAUUGAAGCCCACUCUUCUGAGCUAUUAUAAUACUGUGAGGAAGGCAGGGUAUACAAGUCCCAUGUUACAGAUGAGAAACACAAAAUGACUUGCCUGAUACCACCCAGCUAGGAAGUGGCAACGCAAAGCUCUAACUCAUUCUCUGAAUCCAGUCCUGUGCAUUAGCAGCUCUGGAUGUUGGGUGUGGUCCCUGAGAAAGGCUGAGUGUUUGCAAGGAGAGUGGACAAAGGGAGAAGAAACACUGAUUACCUAUCUGGUGUCCAGGAUUGUGUUAGAUAUUUUAUAUUUACCGAAUAUGAUUUUUCUAUAAACACCUCAUAGGUCAGUAGAGUUUGACAUUAUCAUCCUAUUUUAUAGAUGGAGAAACAGUCUCAGAAAAGGGAACUUGUCCAAGGUCACACUGCUGGUAAUGGGUGGGUUUAAAUCUGAGCCCUGACUCUCCCCUUGAUCAUAGGCAAGGGAACAUGUAGGUACCCUAUUUACAGGAGGCAGACAACUGGUUGACUGCAGUGUUACAAAUGGUAUCACUCAGGAAGACAGUGACAAGGGGGAGGUGGGGAUGUCACUGAGGUGCCUGGUACUUUGCAAACACUCCAUAAAAUGUUAGCUUUUUUUCAUUUCUGACUCGCACAAUGAAGUCUGUUUUUAAAUUUGGAAUGGAAACAGAUAAAUGCUACCAAGUACUCCAAGGAGUACUUGAAAAGAGGGAAAGGGUUUGACUAAAUAUAAUAUAAUAAAAUAUAUAUCUAAUAAAAAUUAAAUUAAAAAAUUAAUCUCUUUUUUUUCUUUCCACAGUUCUUCCACCUCAACCACAUGCUAUUCUUUGUGAUGAAAUACUGUUGAUCUGCAAGUUGUUCUUCUAAGACUUGAAAUACAUAUAAGUGGAUUGUAAUGGUAGAGAUUGAACGCGGUAGGCCCAAGGUCUGAAUAGGAACAUCUCCUAAGCAAAUUAACAAACCUGCCUUCCACCUGCCUAGUUGUCUCAGCGACCACUUACCAGUCCUUCACUCAAAUCCUUUGCUAGCCUACCUUUACUUUAAAAAAAAUUUUUUUUAUAGUUUUAGAUUGACACAAUGCCUUUAUUUUAUUUGUUUAUUUUUAUGUGGUGCUGAAGAUCGAACCCAAUGCCUCAUGCAUGCUAGGCAAGCGCUCUGCCACUGAGCUACAGCCCCAGCCUCCUACCUCUACUUUUUUUAUCAGCUUCAAGGUUCCUGCUGGUUAUAUCCUGCCUGCUAUCAUGACUCAUCUAAUUAUUCUCUAUCUUAGGAAUAAUUUAUGAGUAUGUUCUUUUUGUUUUGUAUUGUGUGCAUUAUAAUUAUACACAAUAGUGGGAUUCAUUGUGACAUAUUUGUACAUGCAUAUAACAUAAUUGGGUCAAUUUCAUUCCUCAGUACCUCAUCCUUUUCUCCCCUCCUCCCUAUCUGACCCCCUUCCUUUACCAGUCUCUAUUCUAUUUUCAUGAAAUUUCCUUACAUAGUAAUUUCUUAAUAUUUUGUGGAUAAAAAUGAAUACCCAGACUGGGACUGGCUCUUUUGUGGGGAGAGGAAGGUUUAUUUCUUCUCAACCACUAAGGUACAGGAGGGCUGGGACCACAUCUUGGCCCCAGGGUCUAGGACAGUUUUUGGGUUUUUCUCAUUUGUUUAUUUUGUUUUUUGCUGGGUUUUGUUUGUGGUUGGUUUUGGUGUGUGUAUAUGUAUGUGUUACUUGGGAUCAAACCCUCCCCUCAAACAUGCUAGGCAAGUGUUCUAUCACUGAGCUACAACGAAUAUAUCUUCCUGGACCUCGUGUGACUCAAUUACAUCCCCAAAUAGUGUAACUUGGAAAAGAUUUUCCAGCUAAGAGAUUGAAUGACCAGCCGUUUGGUACAGAGCAAACAAAACAAAACACCUCCCUUCCUGAAUGACACCUAGGCUUGUUCUGGUCUCCCCUAGGAGACCCUGAAUGUGAGAAGUUCUCAAGUAGCCUAGAAUGGGACCUCAACCUGAUGGUGGCUGUCCUGUUGUUGGGAGGAGGGGGCCAAUCUCCCCCAAAACCUCCUACAAUCUGCCCUACCCACCUCUUUCAGGUGCCUUAAAAAUCCUUGGAGGCAUCCUUGAUUCCCCUUUACCUUACCCCACAUACUCAGUCUGUCCGGGCAGCCUGGAUGCACUCCAUCAAUAUCACUGUCAUCCAAGCCAUCUUACCAGUAUCCUGGACUAUUAUGGUAGUAUCUUUCAUGAAAUAACCUAAGCCAUUUCAUGCACAAUGGGGUUUCCUUGCUGCAGAUCUCAGUAACCUACAGUAAAAGUGAUAGAUAAGGACAAUAGCUUCUUUCCUCAGACUUUGCAAAGAGUGGGCCUGACACACUUCAAGCAAAUCUCAGACUGAAUUCUGUACCCUUUACCAUCACUUAUUACCAAGCAGGCUCCCAACAAUCAGAUAACCUGUUCUGUGAACUCAAGGAAGGCCUGGCUCCAUGUCCUUUUGGGUGACCAAUGGAAAAAUAAUUCAAGUCAUGAAUCCCAAAAAACUAAAGGCUGAAUAUUUUCUCUGAUUAGUGGAUGCUGAUCUAUGAUGGGGGCUGGGGCAUGGGAAGAAUGGAGGAACUUUGGAUUGGGCAAAGGGUAGGGUGGGGAGGGGUUAACAGGGUAGGAAAGAUGGUGAAACGAGAUGGGCGUCAUUACCCUAGGUACAUGCAUGAUUGCAUAAAUGGUGUGUCUCUAUACCAUGUACAACCAGAGAAUUGAUAUUUGUGUUCCAUUUGUGUAUGAUGAAUUGAAAUGCAUUCUGCUGUCACGUACAACUAAGUAGAACAAAUAAAAAAAAUUAAAAAAUGUUAAACUCUCUAGUAGCCACAUUUUAAGAUGGAAAAAACAGGUGGAAUUGAUUACACUGCUAUUUUUAUGAAGCAGAUAUAUCUGAAACAUUAUCAUCUCAACAGUAUGGUCUUGGAAUUCAGUGCACAUUUUGUGUUAAGCACACAUCUCAAUUUAAACUAACUUUAUUUCAAGUGCUCAUAGCCAUUUGUGGCUAGUGGCAUGAGUUUUGAACAGCACAGGCCUAGACAUUCAUUUGAUGACUAUAUGAAUUGACUCCCUCUCAGACAAUUCCAAUGAUCACUGCCCUGGGGAUACUUUAUGUUUUCUUUUCUUUUUCUUCUUUUGGCACCAGGGAUUGAACCCAGGGAUACUUUACCACUGAGCCCCAGUCCGAGCCCAUUUUAUUUUUUAUUUUGAGACAGGGUCUUGCUAAGUUGCUGAGGGUCUCACUAAAUUUCUGAGUCUGGUCUCAGACUUUUGAUCCUCUUACCUCAAUGUCCCAAAUCUCUGGAAUUACAGGCAUAUGCCACUGCACCAAGCUGAUCCCCACACUUUUUAAGAAUAGGUUACAUCCAUUAUUACUGGGAGUAGCUCUUAGUCACCCAAAGACUCAUAGAAUCCCAGUGAGCUGGCUAGAGAGGGGCAUUGGGUCACACUAAAAGAACAAAAGAAUCUAUCUAGGAGUCCCCCACCUUUCUCAAACUCACCAGUGAGGACCAUACUUAUGCUUCCAAAGCAUUCCAUCCUAAUAUGUACUACCUAUGCAGCACCUUCGGAUGACCAUGGGCUUUUCAAAGCCAGCCCCUAAAUGAUCAAAUACUCAUUUCUGUGUUUGGAGGAUUGUUUACAAGUCUGCGUAGCAAGGAUUCUGAUUUAAUUCAUUUUUUCUUUAUCUUUCAGGAGAAUGAAAUAUUCCAUAGGUCUUUUGCCAUUAUACUACCUUCUGCUCACUCAGCAUUUUAAAACAUUAUGCUGGGUGUGGUGACCUGUAAUCCCAGCAGCUCAGGAGGCUGAGGCAGGAGGAUCACACAUUCAAAGCCAGCCUCAGCAACUUAAUUGAAGCCCUAAGCAACUUAGUAAGACCCUGUAGCAAAAAAAAAAAAAAUGGGCUGGGGCUGUGGGUCAGUGGUAAAGUGCCUCUGGGUUCAACCUCUGGUAUCAAAAAGAAAAAAGAAAAAGAAAAAGAUUAGUUAUAAGGUGUUACUUACAUUAAUCAGAGUCCUCAGAACCCUCUCUGGAGUAUCAAUAACUUCGUUUAUAAGUGAGGAAAUGGAAAUUCAAGUUUAUACAUCUAGAGAACGUCAGAGUGAGAAUAGGGACACAGGUUUACUUGGGGAUCUUUCACUGUGACCCUGGCAGCUUCGCAGAGAAUAGACAAUGUCCUUUUGAAAGCAGCAAGGCGUUCUUCUGUCCCAGUUACUGUGGAAAUAAACUUUCAAGUGUUCACUUCAUUAUCAUUGAAGCCUGAGGACCAGCUGUUCUAGGAAGAGUGUUAGGCUGGGAGUCUUUAUCUGCUUGGAGGGAAGCUUUAUCUCUAUCUAUAUGGUGUCCUCUGCACUUGACCUGUGGACUUGGGCAGACAGUGCAAAGCCAGGUCCUGGGGUGUAAGCAAAUGGGAGACAGGUCAGGUCAGGUGAAUGCAAACCACUACCCAGGAUUACAUUUCCAGGUCUUAUUUUGGGCAGCUCUUGGGAUGCUAUCCCAAAACAGGCCUCAGGGGGCAAAUCUUUUGGUCAGAGUUCAUUGAGUAAAAUAAUACACUCACAAGUACAAUACAUGGCUUGUCAUAUGGCGGCCCGUUAGCUCCUUAGGGCAGAGUCCAAGCUGCUUUCCAUGACAGAUGUGUGAGGGCCUAGACUCCAUCUGUUUCCCCCACUUCUUACCACCUGGCCCUUUGCUGUUGGCCCUUUAGUUCCCAGAUACAAUCAUUCACCUCUGUGCUUUUGCUCAUGCUGUCCUUUCUGCUUGACUCCCUUCUUUCUGCUUAGAAAAUGGGAAAAUGGGCCUCUCUUAAGGUUUUGUUUUUGUUUUUGUUUUAAAUCAGGGACUGAAUUCAAGGGCCUUAACCACUGAGCCACAUCCCCAGCCCUUUUUUAUAUUUUAUUUAGAGACAAGGUCUCGCUAAGUUGCUUAGGACCUUGCUAAAUUGCUGAGACUUUCAACUUGAGAUCCUCUUGCUUCAGGUUCCUAGGCUGCUGGGAUUAUAGGCAUGCAACACCCGGCCUGGCCUCUCUUAAGUUUUGUUUGCUUGUAACAAUCUGUCUGCUUUAAGACCCAUGAUACUCUGUUUCUUCUCCCCUAGUUCCUAGGAAUUUCAGGCUUGGGGCACCCACAGACCCUGGAGUUCACAUGACAGCUGUCUAAAUAUCUGUCCUCUAGACCAUGUUCUUGUGGAAGGGGUACUGCUGCACAAGGAGUGUUUUGAACUCUGUGAGGUAUUUUGUGGGUGCAAUGAUAGGAAGGUGGAAUGAACCUCAUUCCAUUCAAUGAAUGUGGUCUGAGAAUGCUGGGUGUCCCGCAAAACUGGGACAGUCCUGCAUAGUAGCAAAUGCCUGUGUCCGGCAGGACUUUGAAAAGUCCAACCAGAUAACUCAUGUAAGUAACAAACUUAUUUAUAAUAAAUGCAUUUGCAACCUAACUGUUUUACAAAUAAACUCAGUAGUUUUUGGCAUGGCUUUACCAUAUGCCGAUUUUUCCCAGGAAUGCAACUACUGUGUUAAUCAAGGGAAAACUAAACUUUACUUCCUCCCAAACUUUAACUAGAGUUGACAUCAGUUUGGAAAACUGUAUUAUUGAUGAACACAUGACUUCAUUGCUAUAACCAAAAUUCCUGACAAGAACAAUCUAGAGGAAGUAAGAUUUAUUUUGGCUCAUGGCUUUAGAGGUUUGAAUCCAUGGACAGCUUUCUCCAUAUCUUUGGGUCUGAGUUAAGAAAGAAUAUCAUGGCAGAAGGGAGAAGUGUGUGGUGAAACAAAGCUGUCAGCUCAUGGCAGCUGGGAAGCAGAGAAACAGAAACAGAGAGGAGGAGGGGGCAAGAGGAUUCUAGGAGGAAGGAAGGCAGGGGAAGGAGAAGGAGAGGCAGGAAGUAGGAAAGGGAGGAGGAAGGGCCUUCCAGGGCAAACCUCCAGGGACCUACGUCCGCCAACUAAAUCCCACCUCCCAGAAUUCCAUUCAACUAUCAAUGGACUAACCCAUCAAUUGGAUUAACCUAUCAGGGUGGUAAUAUUUAGCUGUCAUCCCAGCGAUGUGGGAGGCUGAUGCAGGAGGAUUGCAAAUUGCUAGCCUAGGCAAUUUAGAGAGACCCUGUCUCAAAAUAAUAAAAUAUAAAAAUGGGCAGAGGAUGUAGCUCAGUAGUAGAGGUCCCUGGAUUCAAUCCCUGGUAUGGAAAAAAAAAAAAAAUUGUCCCCACUGAUGAGCUCAGAGCCCUCAUGAUCAAUCAUUCAAAAGCCCCAUCUCGGGGCUGGAGAUGUGGCUCAAGUGGUAGCGCGCUCGCCUGGCAUGCGUGCCGCCCAGGUUCGAUCCUCAGCACCGCAUACAGACAAAGAUGUUGUGUCCGCCGAAAACUGAAAAGUAAAUAUUAAAAUUCUCUCUCUCUCUCUCUCUCUCUCUCUCUCAGGUUCGAUCCUCAGCACCGCAUACAGACAAAGAUGUUGUGUCCGCUGAAAACUAAAAAAUAAAUAUUAAAAUUCUCUCUCUCAAAAAAAAAAAAAAAGCCCCUUCUCUGAACCCUACUGCACUGGGGACUAUGGUUUCAACACAAGACUUUGCAAGACAUUCCAGAUCCAAAUCAUCACAGUGACUCAUGAUUUAGAAAGAAGAAAUUAACCUUGAAACUGCUGGCAAAUCAUUUUGAGAACUUUAGCUGUAUUCAUCUGCAUUUGUGGAUGUCAAUGUGAUUUGGUAUAAAAGUCUACUUUUUUAGUUCUUAUUUUUAAAAGAAAAUAUUACCUGAAUCUUAUCUCUCUUAAAUUUCUUUUUUCAAGUAAGUGCAAGCAUAUAAGUGUUUUGGCAUGUCUUCCAAUAAAUUGGCAUGAG